rnacentral:rRNA from 1 species
GACGAACGCUGGCGGCGUGCUUAACACAUGCAAGUCGAACGGAGUGGCGAACGGGUGAGUAACACGCGGGUGAUCUGCCUUGCACUUCGGGAUAAGCUUGGGAAACUGGGUCUAAUACCGGAUAGUGCAAGAUGAGCUCGCGGCCUAUCAGCGUGUUGGUGGGGUAAUGGCCUACCAAGGCGUCGACGGGUGGCCGGCCGGAGAGGGUGUACGGCCACAUAGGGACUGAGGUGCGACCCGGGCGGCUACGGGAGGCAGCGGUGGGGAAUAUUGCACAAUGGGCGGAGGCCUGAUGCAGCGACGCCGCGUGGGGGAUGAAGGCCUUCGGGUUGUAAACUCCUUUCGACGGGGACGCGGUACCUGUAUAGGAAGCACCGGCUAACUACGUGCCAGCAGCCGCGGUAAUUC